rnacentral:lncRNA from 10 species
CUCAGGUUUGUCAAAGAUCAGAUAGUUGUAGAUAUGCGGCGUUAUUAUUUCUGAGGCACAGCCUCUUUCUUUCGUCUCCCUUUCCUUUCCUCAUCUCUUGCUCUAAUUGGAGAAUUUGACAACUCUGAACCUCUGACUGUGGAUAACCCCAACUCCAGCAAGCCUGGGCAAGAGUGGGACAGUUGCAGCCCAAGGUAGCCAAACAUCUGAGUUUUGCCUAGUAACAGAUCAUGGAGAGGUCAGACCAAGAAGUGGAAGGAAGUGGCCGGCCUGAGGCCUUUGUUUGGGCCACUCAGGGUUGAAUGAAAUGAUAAAGGUAGCCACGUUGUCUGGAUGCGCUUCAGGUAAUAAUUAUUCUCUAAGGAAAGCAGUCAUAUUUAUAUCCAUAAAAUCAGUUUAUUAAAUUACAUAGCAAUAUACAU